rnacentral:rRNA from 1 species
GACGAACGCUGGCGGCGUGCUUAACACAUGCAAGUCGAACGGAAAGGCCCUGCUUUUGUGGGGUGCUCGAGUGGCGAACGGGUGAGUAACACGUGAGUAACCUGCCCUUGACUUUGGGAUAACUUCAGGAAACUGGGGCUAAUACCGGAUAGGAGCUCCUGCUGCAUGGUGGGGGUGGGAAAGUUUCGGCGGUUGGGGAUGUACUCGCGGCUUAUCAGCUUGUUGGUGGGGUAGUGGCUUACCAAGGCGUUGACGGGUAGCCGGCCUGAGAGGGUGACCGGCCACAUUGGGACUGAGAUACGGCCCAGACUCCUACGGGAGGCAGCAGUGGGGAAUAUUGCACAAUGGGCGGAAGCCUGAUGCAGCAACGCCGCGUGCGGGAUGACGGCCUUCGGGUUGUAAACCGCUUUCGCCUGUGACGAAGCGUGAGUGACGGUAAUGGGUAAAGAAGCACCGGCUAACUACGUG